GUUUAUUCAUUAAAAUCAGAAGAUUAACUGAUACAGUAUUAGUAUUUAAUCCAUGUUUAAAUGAUGUCAACUGUCCCAGUCAUAUUCUUGUAGCAAAACAAAUACGUGACAAGACAACAGCAGCAAAACCAAUUCUUCCCUAUUAUGCCUUGACUUUUUUUUUUUUUUUUCCAGAACUGAAUCUUGGAUGAUGCAUAUUUGGUUUUCAUAUCUCUUUUAGCCUCUUUCAAUCUGGGAAAUUUCAUUGCUGUAUCUCCUGGGUCCAGAAAAGGAAUUCACAAGUAUUUGUUGAAUGGAUUAAUACCAAGUAGCUUUCCAAUUAAAAGCUACAAGGAAAAGAAAACAUUGAGAACCAGGUGAUAGAGAAACACAAGCAGAAAUUAAAGUUGGAGGGGGUUACUGCAGAAGUGAGACCUGUUCCUCCCCCAGGAGCUCUUCCCAGGAGAGACUUGAAGCCAGGAAUCAAUAAGCCCAAGGAGAAACUGACCAAGGGGAUGUUCGUAAAGCAACUCAAAGAAACCAAGACACAAAGUCCUAUCCCUGACCACAGAAAGCCAGAAGACACAAGACUGUUGAAGAAGCAUUACCAUCCAAGGCAAGUCUGUCAUAAUUUAAGAAGACAGUGCUCAAAG
rnacentral:lncRNA from 1 species